AAAGUCAGUUUCCUGUUUGCUUAGGGUUAUAUUUUAAUAAUUUCUUUUCAUUUUUGGCCUUGCUUAGAUAACUUUCAAGAACAUAUGGGGAAAGAUUUGGCAGUACCCUUCAUCCCUAAAGAAUUGCAAAAGAACUGUGCAAAAGAAAAUGGUUCAGAAAGCACUUCAGUCAAUCUGAGACUGCACCCCAUUAGAUGUCAAGCUUCUCUGGAGGUGUGGAAGGUGGCCUUGUUCACUGGUGUCAGGCUUGGGUUCAACGCAGGAAAAAGAAAGCCAUUACAAGUAUUGCACUCCAAGAGAGGAAAUUAAAUGCAUGCCAAAUAUUUGGAAGGAAAGAGGACAGAAAUCAAGGGAUGCCUGCCAGAAUUUUGGUUUCAAGGUCAAUCACUGCAGCUGCAGCUCGAGGUCAGAACACUUGCCAUGUUGCCAUCUCUGUUCCAGGCACUGGUGAUCAAGAAGUGGAAGGUGAGUCUGGCUAGUGCUACUUGAUUUUGUUGGCACUUGCAUGUCCACAGCACAUCUGUAGGAAAAGUCUCACUUCUCUCCUGCCUUCCAAAUACCAUGGAAGUGCAUUUCACUGGCAGAAUGUAAAGCUCUCUCAGAGUCUGUCAGUCUGCCUUGCAGACCCUGG
rnacentral:lncRNA from 1 species